GCAAAUGUAGUUUAACAAAAACAUUAGAUUGUGAAUCUAAAUAUAGAAGUUCAAACCUUCUUAUAUGCC
rfam:Monodelphis domestica chromosome 2, whole genome shotgun sequence.